CGUUACCUGUAUCACCUGUGCUUCAUGUGCGUCAGUUACCUGCAUCACUUGCAUUACCUACGUCACAGACUGGAUAAAAGAUACAGACCCUGACCCAUAGCACUUUCUCUCCCCAUCACUUCCUCAUUUCUUCCCCUCACCCUCCCCCCACCCCCCUUUCAGAGGUGCCUCUCAUGUGAGACCUGUGCUGGCUUGGCGUGAUCUUUCCUGGAAUGCGCAGUCUCCUAUAACAGUCACAGGAGGAUAUGGUAUCUUCUUCUGGCCUCUGUGGGCACUGAACACAUGUGGUUCAUAUAAAUACAUGCAGGGUCUCCCUGUAAGAAAAGCAUUUUGUGCCAGGGUGAAGUGGUUGUGUGAAGGAGGGCCUAUUAAGUGCUUAUGAAUUAAGUAGAGGAGAAAGCAAGGAUUCUGGGAAAUUUGAUAAACUCCGUCACAUCUUGACUGUGGGCUGCUCAGCCACUGUCUUGCUAUCAGAAGAUGCCAGCAAUGGAAAAAGUCAGGAACAUUAUCUCCGGGGCAAAACCAGCUGACAUAGGGUAAUCUUUGUUGUCACCCUA
ensembl:processed_transcript